rnacentral:rRNA from 1 species
GUGCCAGCAGCCGCGGUAAUACGUAGGGUGCGAGCGUUAAUCGGAAUUACUGGGCGUAAAGCGUGCGCAGGCGGUUGUGUAAGACAGGUGUGAAAUCCCCGGGCUUAACCUGGGAAUUGCAUUUGUGACUGCACGGCUAGAGUUUGGCAGAGGGGGGUAGAAUUCCACGUGUAGCAGUGAAAUGCGUAGAUAUGUGGAGGAAUACCGAUGGCGAAGGCAGCCCCCUGGGUCAAGACUGACGCUCAUGCACGAAAGCGUGGGGAGCAAACAGGAUUAGAAACCCCGGUAGUCC